rnacentral:rRNA from 1 species
UGGUUGUCGUCAGCUCGUGUCGUGAGAUGUUGGGUUAAGUCCCGCAACGAGCGCAACCCUUGUCUUUAGUUGCCAUCAUUAAGUUGGGCACUCUAGAGAGACUGCCAGGGAUAACCUGGAGGAAGGUGGGGAUGACGUCAAAUCAUCAUGCCCCUUAUGCUUAGGGCUACACACGUGCUACAAUGGGUAGUACAGAGGGUUGCCAAGCCGUAAGGUGGAGCUAAUCCCUUAAAGCUACUCUCAGUUCGGAUUGUAGGCUGAAACUCGCCUACAUGAAGCUGGAGUUACUAGUAAUCGCAGAUCAGAAUGCUGCGGUGAAUGCGUUCCCGGGUCUUGUACACACCGCCCGUCACACCACGGGAGUUGGAGACGCCCGAAGCCGAUUAUCUAACCUUUUGGAAGAAGUCGUCGAAGGUGGAAUCAAUAACUGGGGUGAAGUCGUAACAAGGUAGCCGUAUCGGAAGGUGCGGCUGGAUC